UUGAGCAUCUUUUUACGUGCUUAGGGGUCACUUGCAUGUCUUAGGAGAAAUGGCUAUUCAGAUCCUUUGCCCAAUAAUUGGGCUGUGUAUCCUUUUAAAAUUGAGUUGUGUGUGGUCUUUAUAUCUUCUAGAUUUACAAAUCUUUUCUCCCGUUCUAUCAGUUGUCUUUUUGCUUUCUUGGUCGUAUCCUUAGAAACACAAGUUUUUAAUUUUUAUGAACUCCAAUUUUUUUUUCUUUUAUUGCUUGUGCCUUUGGUGUCAUAUCUAAGAAUCCAUUGCCAAAUUCAAGGUCAUGAAAACUUAUACCAAUAAUUUCUUUUGAGAGUUUAUAAUUCUGGCUCUUACAUUUUGGUUUUUGAUGCACUUUGGUUUAAUCUUUAUACACAAUGUAAGAGUCCAAUUUCAUCCUUUUGUAUGAGGCUAUACAGUUAUCCCAACACCAUUUGUUGAAAAGACUCAUUUUUCCCCAUCGAAUAGUCUUGACUUCCUUAUCAAAAUUCACCUAACUAUAGAUAAAUGGGGUUAUUUCUGAACUCUGAAUUCUGUUUUAUUAAUCUGUGUGUCUAUCCUUAACAAACAGCUGCCUUGUUGAGCAUACACCAAAUCCGGGUGAGAGUGCAGCAGGAAUCCAAGUGAGAACGGAUUGCGCCUUGCACCAGGGCAGCAGCAGAAAAAGGGUCACAAAAUGGUUCGGAUGUUUCUCUUUUGUUCUUCUCUCCUUUAUUAUUUUUGACUAUCUUGAUGGUUUUUUGUUAUUGUUGUUUUGUUUUGUUUUUAACCUCAACCAACAACAAAGCCAACAUUUACUUUCUUAAAAUCCUCCUGUGGUUAAAUUCUUAGUAAGCAGUUCCACAUGAAGGAAGCAGACACCAGACUGGAGGCUAGAAAAGCACAAACCCUACAUGUCCUGUCUAUGUAACAACAGAUCUAACAAGGCAGGUCUGGCUGGAGGGAAGGUCUAUUUUUACGAGACGGGGAAAAAGAGAAGUGUCCAUCACCAGGGCUGAGAAAUGCUGCAACUCUCAGCAAUCAGCUAAAGAUAACCCAGGCCAGGAACUCUGCACCCAGACUGAAGGGGCCUCAGUGCUCUGUGCAUGCAGGAUAAUUCAAGCUUCUCCAGCGAGCAGCCAUCCCAAGCUACUGGAUCCUUCACUUUGGAGACACUAGCUUAACCAGCGUUCCUCAAGAACUUCCUUCUCCCUGAAGGUGGCAACACAGGAAAACUCCCCAUCAGUCCCUCUUACCCAUAUACUUAAAGCCAGAUGUGAUAUCUCUCCCUCCUGGCAAGCAGGACCCUAGAGUUCUAAUCUGGGCUGGGCCUAGGGUGAGUCAAGGGAAGCCCCUAGGGCACUUGCAUGACCCUGAGGGUGAGGGCUUCCUUAUAUUUUGCAUCUUAGAUGUUUCUCUUGCCUCACUGGAUGGCCAGCCCUGGUUCUAAUCCCAGAUCUGCUGUUGACAGGCCAUGUACAUGAGGACAAGUCUCUUGUUCUCUCUGGGCCUCAGUUUACUCAUCUGAGAAAUUGAAGUGCUGGAGUUAGAUCAGUGUGAUCCACGAACCCAAAAUUAUCCUUAAUGUUCAGAUUCACAGAACCUUUACCAAAUGUCCUCACUUCUGAAAAUCUAAAAACUUCUCUAUAAGAACCUAAUGUACAGCUAUAGAAUGUGGCAAAUGGAGUCAGGGUCCUCCACAGGACUCAUUCCUCCCUUGAGAAACUGCACCAUCUUCUCUACAGCCCAGUCAGGGCUGUCCCAGCCACUAUUGUAACAUCACUAACUGCCCUGACCUAAAGUUAUUAGACUAGAGGUAGAACCCAAACCCAAGAUUAACCAGUCUAUAGACUGGACAGAGACAAGCAGGUUAUUGCUCUCAUAGUUUGGGCAUUUCAGACUCCGUAGCCGAUAAUGGUGGGCAGUUCAGCGGUCAGGUCAGACUCAAGGCGGAUGGGCACAGAGACCCACCUGCAGGCAAAGAAGCUGAUUAAAAGAAGGAAGAUGCAGAUAGACGCAGUGAUGAGUAAGUCUUGUGGCCUAUGAAAGUUGAGAAAUUACUUUGCUCUUGAGAGAGGGGGAGUGUCCCCAGCUUCUGACUUUCCCAUCCUAUGCCAACAUGAGGCAGGGAGGCCCAGAAGCAAUAAGCAACCAAGUACCUAGAUUAUAGUCUCCAAAUAUCAUUCUCAACUUUAGCACUUUUGCAGAAAUAAGUAAUUCCAAGGCCAAGGCAGGGAAAUUGCAAGAUGAACCUGAAACAUUUUCUUGUGCCAGCAAGUAAAGAAUUACUCAAAGAACAAUGGGGACAUGUCUAUAGCUCAUGGGUACAAACGUCAAAAGUUAUCAUCUAGCCAAAUCUGGAAUAAUCGAUAUUAAAAUAAAUACUGAUGAUAAUGGAUUAAAUCGGCUGAAUAAAAUAGGAAUCCCUGAGCCUUCAUCAAUAAAAAUAAGUAGAGGAUUGACUAUGAGUAAUUUUUUUAAAAAGGAAAAAAGUAAGCGGAGGAAAAGGGAAAUGUCUUCCUUAUAGUAGCACAGCAGCUAAUAUAUAUCGUAGGAAUGAUGAUAAUAGAUAAACCACCAUUUACAACUGCCAUAACGGUGGUUAAUUCAGGCAAAAGUAAUCAAUAGCUACUAAAUCGAGUUAGUGGAGAUUUAAUGGGAUACAGGAUAUUGGCAUAGUUUGAGAAUAUCUUCCCACAAAAUGUUCAUCAAUUACAAAUAGAAAAAUGAUUAGUUAAUGUGGAGAAACCUGACACAAAUUGACCAGGUGCUAAAGAUGGCCAUCCCCAGUGUGGGGAUGAGCCCACAUUGUAUGCCCCCUCGUGUGAUGCAGUGAGAAGAUGACAGCCUCCCUUCCAUAUAGCACUCCCAGAACGUACGUGUGAACCCAGGAAACACUGGUGGAACCAGGCUGAGCUUCGGCACUCCCAGAACACAAGUGUGAAUCCAGUCCUAAGGAAACAUUGGUGGAACCAGGCUGAGCUUCGUCCUACAGACUGAAAGGAAUGUGAGCUUCAUGACAGCAGGGAAUUUGGUCAGCUUUACUCACUGCUGUGUUACUUCUAGAACUGCACCAUCCAAUAUUGUAGCUACUAGCCACGUGUGGGUAGUGAGCACUUGAAAAAUGGCUGUCCUACCUCAAAAUACACCAACUCAUCCUGAAGGUUGGCGGCCAAAAGCUCUCAGGUGUUGAUCUCAUGAGCACUCCCCAAAAACCUGCCUGCAGGCAAAUCUGCAUCUCAGAGUCAGAAUCCAGAGAACCUGACCUGCAACAGCUUAUACCAGCAGUGGUCCAAGAAAGCAAUGCUGAUUGUAGUUGGACAAACAGGAACAGCUCAUUUCUGCUCAAUGUGGUAUCAGCUGGGACAACUCAUCUUGAGACUGGAAUAUCUGCUUCCAAGAAUAUCCACAAGUUGAUGCUGGCUGUUGGCUGGGAGCUCAGCCAAUGCUGUGGCUUGGGGGCCUUGGUUCCCUCCCACAUAAUCUCUCCACAGGACACUUAGGCUUCCUCAUAGCAUGGUGGCUGGGUUCCAGUGUCAUCAGAGAUGGAGGCUGUAUUGAAUUCUAUGACCCAGCCUCAGAAGUCACAAAGUGUCCUGCCACUGAAGUGAUAAGUCAGCCUGGAUUCAAGGGGAUGGCACAAAGACCUCUUUCUCUCAAUUAAAAGAGUAUCAAAGUCACAUUAUGCACAUAACAUAUGAGGUAGGAGAUAUUGCAGUGACCAUCUUCGGAAAAUUCAUCUAAUCUGUCCCAUGGAUAGGCAAACACGAUCACUUCCUGGUGGACCCAGUAUUUGAACUCAAGUUCUGCUCAGUACAUUUUGUUCUAGGAGGAGAGGAUAUAUGUCACACAUUCUAGAAGGACUUCUCACUAACCUGGAGAAGAUAAACCCUUGGAGUUUGGAGAGUUAAUUGACAGUUAUGAAGAUAAUUCACUUAUUUGUGCUAACUGCCUCUUCAACUAAAAUGUAGGCUUCCUAAGAAAGUUUUGUUAUGUUAUAUAUAUAAUUUUAUACAUAUUUUAUAUUAAUAUAUUAGAUUUUCUA